UGGGGAAUAUUGCACAAUGGGCGCAAGCCUGAUGCAGCCAUGCCGCGUGUAUGAAGAAGGCCUUCGGGUUGUAAAGUACUUUCAGUCGGGAGGAAGGUGGUAAGGUUAAUAACCUUGGCAAUUGACGUUACCGACAGAAGAAGCACCGGCUAACUCCGUGCCAGCAGCCGCGGUAAUACGGAGGGUGCAAGCGUUAAUCGGAAUUACUGGGCGUAAAGCGCACGCAGGCGGUUGAUUGAGUCGGAUGUGAAAUCCCCGGGCUUAACCCGGGAAUUGCAUCUGAUACUGGUCAGCUAGAGUCUUGUAGAGGGGGGUAGAAUUCCAUGUGUAGCGGUGAAAUGCGUAGAGAUGUGGAGGAAUACCGGUGGCGAAGGCGGCCCCCUGGACAAAGACUGACGCUCAGGUGCGAAAGCGUGGGGAGCAAACAGG
rnacentral:rRNA from 1 species